AAUCAACGCUGGCGGCGUGCCUAACACAUGCAAGUCGCACGAGAAAGGGGAGCAAUCCCUGAGUAAAGUGGCGCACGGGUGAGUAACACGUGACUAACCUACCCUCGAGUGGGGAAUAACCUAGAGAAACCUGGGCUAAUACCGCAUAACACUUACGAGUCAAAGCAGCAAUGCGCUUGAGGAGGGGGUCGCGGCAGAUUAGCUAGUUGGCGGGGUAAUGGCCCACCAAGGCAAUGAUCUGUAUCCGGCCUGAGAGGGCGCACGGACACACUGGAACUGAAACACGGUCCAGACUCCUACGGGAGGCAGCAGUGGGGAAUUUUGCGCAAUGGGGGAAACCCUGACGCAGCAACGCCGCGUGGAGGAUGAAAUCCCUUGGGAUGUAAACUCCUUUCGAUAGGGAAGAUAAUGACGGUACCUAUAGAAGAAGCCCCGGCUAACUUCGUGCCAGCCGCCGCCGUAAG
rnacentral:rRNA from 1 species